UGAAGUUAGCGGCGGACGGGUGAGUAACACGUGGGUAACCUGCCCAUAUGACUGGGAUAACUCCGGGAAACCGGGGCUAAUACCGGAUAAUAUUUUGCGCCUCAUGGCGCAAAAUUGAAAGGCGGCUUCGGCUGUCACUUAUGGAUGGACCCGCGUCGCAUUAGCUAGUUGGUGACGUAACUUGGCUCACCAAGGCGACGAUGCGUAGCCGACCUGAGAGGGUGAUCGGGCACACUGGGAGAGACACGGCCCAGACUGCUACGGGAGGCAGCAGUAGGGAAUCUUCCGCAAUGGACGAAAGUCUGACGGAGCAACGCCGCGUGAGUGAUGAAGGCUAUCGGGUCGUAAUUCUCUGUUGUUAGGGAAGAACAAGUGCUAGUUCAAUAAGCUGGCACCUUGACGGUACCUAACCAAAAAGCCACGGCAAACUACGUGCCAGCAGCCGCGGUAAUACGUAGGUGGCAAGCGUUAUCCGGAAUUAUUGCGCGUAAAGCGCGCGCAGGUGGUUUCUUAAGUCUGAUGUGAAAGCCCACGGUUCAACCGUGGAGGGUCAUUGGAAACUGGGAGACUUGAGUGCAGCAGAGGAAAGUGGAAUUCCAUGUGUAGCGGUGAAAUGCGUAGAGAUAUUCCGGAACACCAGUGGCGAAGGCGACUAACUGGUCUGUAA
rnacentral:rRNA from 1 species